GAUGAACGCUGGCGGCGUGCCUAAUACAUGCAAGUCGAGCGAACAGACGAGGAGCCUGCUCCUCUGACGUUAGCGGCGGACGGGUGAGUAACACGUGGAUAACCUACCUAUAAGACUGGGAUAACUUCGGGAAACCGGAGCUAAUACCGGAUAAUAUAUUGAACCGCAUGGUUCAAUAGUGAAAGACGGUUUUGCUGUCACUUAUAGAUGGAUCCGCGCCGCAUUAGCUAGUUGGUAAGGUAACGGCUUACCAAGGCAACGAUGCGUAGCCGACCUGAGAGGGUGAUCGGCCACACUGGAACUGAGACACGGUCCAGACUCCUACGGGAGGCAGCAGUAGGGAAUCUUCCGCAAUGGGCGAAAGCCUGACGGAGCAACGCCGCGUGAGUGAUGAAGGUCUUCGGAUCGUAAAACUCUGUUAUUAGGGAAGAACAAUGUGUAAGUAACUAUGCACGUCUUGACGGUACCUAAUCAGAAAGCCACGGCUAACUACGUG
rnacentral:rRNA from 1 species